UACGUAGGGUGCAAGCGUUAAUCGGAAUUACUGGGCGUAAAGCGUGCGCAGGCGGUUAUGUAAGACAGGUGUGAAAUCCCCGGGCUUAACCUGGGAACUGCAUUUGUGACUGCAUAGCUAGAGUACGGUAGAGGGGGAUGGAAUUCCGGCGUGUAGCAGUGAAAUGCGUAGAUAUGACGGAGGAACACCGAUGGCGAAGGCAAUCCCCUGGACCUGUACUGACGCUCAUGCACGAAAAGCGUGGGGAGCAAACAGG
rnacentral:rRNA from 1 species